rnacentral:rRNA from 1 species
UACGUAGGGUGCAAGCGUUACUCGGAAUUACUGGGCGUAAAGGGCGCGUAGGCGGCCUGCUAAGUCGAACGUGAAAUCCCCGGGCUCAACCCGGGAACUGCGUCCGAUACUGGCAGGCUUGAAUCCGGGAGAGGGAUGUGGAAUUCCAGGUGUAGAGGUGAAAUUCGUAGAUAUUCGCAAGAACACCAGUGGCGAAGGCGGCUCACUGGCCCGGUACUGACGCUGAGGUGCGAAAGCGUGGGGAGCAAACAGG